GACGAACGCUGGCGGCGUGCUUAACACAUGCAAGUCGAACGGAAAGGCCCUGCUUUUGUGGGGUGCUCGAGUGGCGAACGGGUGAGUAACACGUGAGUAACCUUCCCUUGACUUUGGGAUAACUUCAGGAAACUGGUGCUAAUACCGGAUAGGAGCUCCUGCUGCAUGGUGGGGUUUGGAAAGUUUCGGCGGUUGGGGAUGGACUCGCGGCUUAUCAGCUUGUUGGUGGGGUAGUGGCUUACCAAGGCUUUGACGGGUAGCCGGCCUGAGAGGGUGACCGGCGACAUAGGGACUGAGAUACGGCAGAGACUCCUACGGGAGGCAGCAGUGGGGAAUAUUGAACAAUGGGCGGAAGCCUGAUGCAGAAACGCCGCGUGCGGGAUGACGGCCUUAGGGUUGUAAACCGCUUUCGCCUGUGACGAAGCGUGAGUGACGGUAAUGGGUAAAGAAGCACCGGCUAACUACGUG
rnacentral:rRNA from 1 species